CGUCGGGUCCCACGGGAACAGAGCGGCCCAGGCAGGGGCGCGGCUUGCGCAUGGUCAGGUUUGUCCUGGCCAGGGAGACCAGGGCCUGGCCACCAGCUCCGGAGGUCUGAGGCUCCUGGGACGGGACGGUAGCCACUGCUGCUGGGAAGCCAGAGGGUCUGGAGUAGGGUCGGUCACUCCUGGAGGGAACGGUGCUCCCCGGGACACACCCCUAAAUCAGACUGGUGGGAACAGCACCUCUGCAGUUGGACCAAGAGGCAGCCCCGCCCCCGCCAACAAGGAACCAAAACAUCAAAGGGAUCGAAUUUAGGAUCUUUCGGUUGCCUGGCAGAGCUGGUGCCACUGAGCUAAAUCCCUGGCCCCUCCAGCACCAUUUAUUAAAGAGGCUAUAUUCUAGUGAAAGUGUUUGGCUCCUUUGUCAAAGAUAAGGUGCUUUCCCACAACGUGGCCUGCUUGAAAUCCUCUUCAAAUUACAGUCAUAAUAUGUGGGUGAUAUUCUGCUAUGCACCCCAUUAGAAAAAUUUUCUAGUCAGGGCAACUGGCCCCUGCUAAAAUUUUUGGCAGGUAGAGAAGGUAUAAAGUCUCCAGGUCUAAGGCACAACUUUGCAGUUCUGAAGUCAAAUAUUUGGACCUUAUCAUAUCCAAAGGAACUGGAAGACUAAGGGGAAAAAAAUUAAACCCAUACUCUCCUUCCCACUGCCCAAGACCCUAAAAAGAGCUAACAGGCCUUGGGUAGCACAAUAUGGCAAGAUAACAUGACCUCUUUAUCAACUAAAAGGAAACCCAGGGCUGGAGAUUUUAGCUCAGUGAUUCUGAUGCCUGCCUUGCAAGCGCAAGGUCCCGAGUUCGAUCCUCAGUACCAAAAAAAAAAAGGGCAACAGGAUAUGCUACAGUAACUCUGUGAGAGACACUUGGGAGCUGCUCACUCAGCCCUGGAACAAAUGCUCAGUUAGCAGAACUUACAGCCCUGACAGUGUAAAAAUAUGAAAAGAAAGGAACUCUUUAACAGCCUGUGGGUCUCCCCUAAAAUUCCAUAGAAGAGAAACUCCUGAUGUGUUUACUUGCCUUCAAAAGUGGCAGUAACACAUUGCAGAGGCACCAGAAGGGUAUGGAUGAGGUGGCACAGGGUACAUCCAGCUACAGAAAAUGCUGCUCCAGCCCCUAGGAUCUGGAAGUGUCCUUAUCCCAGACUCGGCCCAAGGACUCUCAACCAGAUGAGAAACACACGCCAAGCAUUGGGACUCAGUCCUUUCAAAAUGCUUUACAGGUGACCAUUUUAAACUAAUGAGUUUUUUAUUGAUUUAAAAAAGAAAACAUGAUUGGACUAAAGACAUCGGCUCACUUGGAAAAUUUCAACAAAUUCUGCAGCAAUGAAUGGAAGCUUAACCCAGAGAGCUCGCACAUCUGGUAUUGUACCUCGGAGACGUGGUGCUGGUAAAAUCUUCCUCAUCUGCUUCCUUAUGGCCAACUUGGGAAGGACUGUAUACACGGGUGACUCUCAAAUCACAACUGCCUUUGCUGUGGAGGUAGCUGGCUUGGAUUCCUGGGUACACCAUUACCAACUCAAGCCUUGGGAGCUGGGGACAUUUCUACCUGUGACCCACUGCCUGAAUAUUCUUGUGAGCUGGUAGAAGAUUUAAAUCUCUUGUUCAGAAAAAAAACUACAUCUCCAGAUACGAAACUUUGACAUGCUACCUCUUAUUGUUUUCAUGAUCACACUUAGACAGGGAAAGGAGUCAAAUUUGUUUUUGGUUUGUGCCCAGGAAUAUGCAAAGUCAAUAUGGCAAGAAACAUGCUAGGUUUGUGGAUGGCUUUCCUUUCCAGCACCUCAGGGCUCCCCUGGUGGGCAUUCUUCUAGAAUAGUAAGUGGAACAAGCUACUCGAUCUCAUUGAAUGUGAAAACUCUCUGGUGUUUGACAGGUAGUACAUGGAUCUAAGGUAGCUAAAUGGCCUAUACAGUCCACUCUUCACAGCCCCAAACACUUAUGAAACCUCUAGGAACAACACUCAGACCUCCAUGUGGGCACUGACUAAACCUGUUAUCCAAAUUUUCAGGCCAAGGUCCUGUUAGAUCUAACUACCAAAGCUACCAAGAUGGCUACUUCCAGUAAAUAUGGUUAACUGCCACUGUGGGAUGCCUUCGCCAAAGGACCUUCUUAUCUUGGGAACAAAGGAACCCCACUCACACUGGCUCGAUAUCACUAAAUAUGGGAUGGGCUCCCCUUGAUCAGUAGAUACAUACAACGAUUGAUUUGCAGUAGAUUGGAUUAAAUUUGAUGCAGCACCCCUAAAGGCGCCCAUCGGCUCUGCAGGACUACUUUAUGGCUGUGGCUGUGGCCUGGGUGGGUAGCGAGAUGUAUUGUGAGACUUGCCUAGUUCCAAGGCAGAUGGGUUAAGAACAUUACC
rnacentral:lncRNA from 1 species